GAAUAGAGAUGACCUGUGUCAAUUAUACUAGAAAAAUGAUAGAGUGUGACUUCUGAGGCUGUGUUAUAAAAGACAUUGUCAUUUCCAUCUUGCUCUUUCUUGGAUAAUCCACUCUGGGGGAAGACAGCUACCACUGUCCUAAAGACACCCAAGCAGCCCUGGGGAGAGGACCAUGUGCUAAGGCCUCACAUCAACAGUCAGCAUGAACUUCUCAGCAACAUCAAGUGACCCCAAGCCAGAAACACCCAGUUAAGCUGCUUCUGCAUUCUUGACCCACAGAAACUAGCAAUGAAGAACUACUGAAGUGUAAUAACUGCACAAAAUUUGAUCAGUUUUGCCAUUAUGUAUACUCUCCUGAGACCAUCACCAUAAUCAAGGUGUACUGGCGAAAGGACCCAGGAGUCAACCUGAAAGAGCUCCCACCAGCUAAACACAAGACAAACUAUCAGUAAAGCUAACAAAAAUAGACGGAGACACAAAUCAAUAUUAUAAACUCAAGUACUGAGUAUAUAAACUCCAAUAUUUGUAAGUCUCCGUUACCACUGAAGAACCCAGAACUGGUAAAUAAACAGAAUCAAACAUUGCCUUUAUUGCACGAAAUGAAUCUCACAGUAACCAAAGAGUAUCUCUGCCAAAAUUUCUCUUUAUAAAAGUGUCUCAAUUAACAAAUGAAAGGAGAGAACUGAAAUGUCCCUUUUUGCCUCCCUUCAUGAAAUAAUCGAUUACUCAAAAACUACGGAUGCUCAAUUACAAAAAGAAAACCAAGUAUGUGCUUCCUCACACACAUUUGUACUACCACCUAUGAAUUAUUCUUGCUUUAAAAAAAAAAGAGGGGGGAGCAGUGAAAAAGAAAAUCCUGCAUAUGGCUCAACUUUUUGUGGGCAACCCAGUGGAAUCACUCAGAGAAGCUAAAAUAGCCCUAACCCUGGAGUUAUGAUUUAAUCAGUUAUGUUUAAUUUAAAUAUGGCCUGGACAUUCAAAUUUUUUGUGAGGCUCCCCAGGUGGUUCUAACACGUAGCCAACGUGAAGAUCACUGCUCUAGAUCUAACUACCACUUCACAAGAAUACAGAGGACUGAGAAACCAAACUAUAA